GUUUUAGUAGUUUAAAUAAAACACUGGUCUUGUAAACCAAUAUUAAGCUUUCUGCUUCUAAAACU
rnacentral:tRNA from 1 species